rnacentral:rRNA from 1 species
UACAGAGGUCUCAAGCGUUGUUCGGAUUCAUUGGGCGUAAAGGGCGCGUAGGUGGCGUCGUAAGUCGGGUGUGAAAUUUCGGAGCUUAACUCCGAAACUGCAUUCGAUACUGCGGUGCUUGAGGACUGGAGAGGAGACUGGAAUUUACGGUGUAGCAGUGAAAUGCGUAGAGAUCGUAAGGAAGACCAGUGGCGAAGGCGGGUCUCUGGACAGUUCCUGACACUGGGGCACGAAGGCCAGGGGAGCAAACGGG